GGAUAAAGGUGUAUCGGUAAAUGAGCGAGCCAGUCUAUAUAUACAAAGCUAAGGUGGGAAAAUGAUAUCAUCACUUGCCGUAGUGAACAAGAGUAGGUAAACAUCAUUUGGUCAGCUUGCUGGCCACAGUUGCCAUAGAUAUGUCCAUUCCUUCUAUCACGUAAACAUGACGUUCCCAUUCGCGAUAAUAUAAAACCGAAUUUCUUUCUGGAUAGC